AAUUUCAUGUAUAAGCUCGAUUGAGGUGAAUCUCACGUGAAAUGUUUCAUGUGAAUUUCACGUGAGAUUGAUGUGAAAUUCAUGUGAGCAAAUUUUGCCAGUGUAAGACAGAAAGCCACCAGUGGAACAGGAACUUCAAGGAUUUCAGAUUCCUCUUAUAACCCCAACCCCACCCCCUGCAAAAUGUCAAUGUUUCAAAUCAGCAUAUUAUCAGUUAUUUUCGCUGUUUCUACAUUUUGAUAAAUCAUUCUGUUUCAAUCAAUCAGCACAUACUACUUUGAUGUUAAUUGAUUAGGUGUUUCCUUUAUAUUUUUUCGUAAUAAAAUUUGACACUCAAUUCUAAAAAGCAAUAUUCUAUCGCAUCAAAGAAGACUGUGUUAGCAGAAGAAUUUGUGAAUACUGAAAUAUUUAAUGUACAAUAAGAAGAUAUACUGUAAAAUGAUAUAUAUUCCAUUUGAGUAUAUUUUUUGUAUAGGUAAUAAACGGGCGACAUUUGAACAUGAACUGAAAAUGAUUGGAAAUGUUAAUAAUUAUAGUUAUCAAAGGUACCAGGAUUAUAAUUUAGUACGCCAGACGCGCGUUUCGUCUUCAUAAGACUCAUCAGUGACGCUCUAAUCAAAUUUACAUAAUUUAUCUUAAUUGUCCUGAAUACUUUGUCUGCAUUUAAAAAACAAAAAUCAAAUAUAGAAACAAAAAAUGAUUCCAGAUUAUACAUUGUAAAGCAAACAUCUAGUAAAAGGAGAUGGGUGUACAUUCAAAAUAAAGUUAGAUUAAUGUUAUUUCUUUGAAUUAAAACCUAGAUAUAAUAUGGUACAUAAAAUUUCAGGAUGGAAGUCAAUAAACAUUGUACAAAAUUCUGGAAUAUAUCAAAAACUAGUAAGCUAGUUUAAUUUUAAAAAUUAUCCUGCCUUAACAUCCAUGAAUAGUUUUCAAAGAACGACAUAAGUUACAUUUACAGCUUAAGCGUUCAAGGUUUCUUGACCAAAUAUAAAAAGAGUGCAAAACAACCAAAAUAGUUUUUUUGUUUAGAAAAAAUAAAGAGAAACAAAGUAAAAAAUACUAUUCUAAUUUAAGUAUUGUAGAAAUCGAUAAGAGAAACUAUUGAACUUAUUUUGUACACAACAAUACAAUCAUACAAUAAGUCCGUGAAACUAUACAAUAUACCAAAGGAUCUGUACAAAAACAAUCACUUCAUCAAUAAACUCAUUAAUUAGAUUAAUUUAAAAUAAACGAUGAACCUAUCAGAGAAAUCCAAGUCAUCAUUAAGGUUUUUUUUCCCUGAAAAUGUGUCAUAAUCAUACAAAAA
rnacentral:lncRNA from 1 species